AACGAACGCUGGCGGCAUGCCUAACACAUGCAAGUCGAACGAGACCUUCGGGUCUAGUGGCGCACGGGUGCGUAACGCGUGGGAACCUGCCCUUAGGUUCGGAAUAACUCCCCGAAAGGGGUGCUAAUACCGGAUAAUGUCUUCGGACCAAAGAUUUAUCGCCUUUGGAUGGGCCCGCGUUGGAUUAGCUAGUUGGUAGGGUAAAAGCCUACCAAGGCGACGAUCCAUAGCUGGUCGGAGAGGAUGAUCAGCCACACUGGGACUGAGACACGGCCCAGACUCCUACGGGGGGCAGCAGUGGGGAAUAUUGGACAAUGGGCGAAGGCCUGAUACAGCAAUGCCGCGUGAGUGAUGAAGGCCUUAGGGUUGUAAAGCUCUUUUACCCGGGAUGAUAAUGACAGUACCGGGAGAAUAAGCUCCGGCUAACUCCGU
rnacentral:rRNA from 1 species